GAUGAACGCUAGCUACAGGCUUAACACAUGCAAGUCGAGGGGCAGCAUGGUCUUAGCUUGCUAAGGCCGAUGGCGACCGGCGCACGGGUGAGUAACACGUAUCCAACCUGCCGUCUACUCUUGGACAGCCUUCUGAAGGGAAGAUUAAUACAAGAUGGCAUCAUGAGUCCGCAUGUUCACAUGAUUAAAGGUAUUCCGGUAGACGAUGGGGAUGCGUUCCAUUAGAUAGUAGGCGGGGUAACGGCCCACCUAGUCUUCGAUGGAUAGGGGUUCUGAGAGGAAGGUCCCCCACAUUGGAACUGAGACACGGUCCAAACUCCUACGGGAGGCAGCAGUGAGGAAUAUUGGUCAAUGGGCGAGAGCCUGAACCAGCCAAGUAGCGUGAAGGAUGACUGCCCUAUGGGUUGUAAACUUCUUUUAUAAAGGAAUAAAGUCGGGUAUGCAUACCCGUUUGCAUGUACUUUAUGAAUAAGGAUCGGCUAACUCCGUGCCAGCAGCCGCGGUAAUACGGAGGAUCCGAGCGUUAUCCGGAUUUAUUGGGUUUAAAGGGAGCGUAGAUGGAUGUUUAAGUCAGUUGUGAAAGUUUGCGGCUCAACCGUAAAAUUGCAGUUGAUACUGGAUAUCUUGAGUGCAGUUGAGGCAGGCGGAAUUCGUGGUGUAGCGGUGAAAUGCUUAGAUAUCACGAAGAACUCCGAUUGCGAAGGCAGCCUGCUAAGCUGCAACUGACAUUGAGGCUCGAAAGUGUGGGUAUCAAACAGGAUUAGAUACCCUGGUAGUCCACACGGUAAACGAUGAAUACUCGCUGUUUGCGAUAUACAGCAAGCGGCCAAGCGAAAGCGUUAAGUAUUCCACCUGGGGAGUACGCCGGCAACGGUGAAACUCAAAGGAAUUGACGGGGGCCCGCACAAGCGGAGGAACAUGUGGUUUAAUUCGAUGAUACGCGAGGAACCUUACCCGGGCUUAAAUUGCAGAUGAAUUACGGUGAAAGCCGUAAGCCGCAAGGCAUCUGUGAAGGUGCUGCAUGGUUGUCGUCAGCUCGUGCCGUGAGGUGUCGGCUUAAGUGCCAUAACGAGCGCAACCCUUGUUGUCAGUUACUAACAGGUUCCGCUGAGGACUCUGACAAGACUGCCAUCGUAAGAUGUGAGGAAGGUGGGGAUGACGUCAAAUCAGCACGGCCCUUACGUCCGGGGCUACACACGUGUUACAAUGGGGGGUACAGAGGGCCGCUACCACGCGAGUGGAUGCCAAUCCCCAAAACCUCUCUCAGUUCGGACUGGAGUCUGCAACCCGACUCCACGAAGCUGGAUUCGCUAGUAAUCGCGCAUCAGCCACGGCGCGGUGAAUACGUUCCCGGGCCU
rnacentral:rRNA from 1 species